GCUGGAUCCACUCCACAGCUCACGGGAUGGCUGGUGUUUGGGCUGGCUGAUCCUGUGCUUCCUGCACCUCCUGAGGUUCUGGUAAGACCUGCUGCUCUCCUGCUGAGUUUCAGGAACAGCAUUCCUUGUUGCUGGCAUCAUGGCAUCAUGAAAGGGAGCAGAACUGCCUCCUGUCCCUGUCUCCUCUCUUUGCCCUGCUGUAUUCACUGCGCAGCCCCAAUUCUUCUUCUGAAUGUCUACAUUCCCCUUUGUUAUUUAUCUAUGAUGUAGGCCUUGGGGCUGUUCUGAUGCAGUGAUGGACCCUCAGGCUCCCAGGGCUCGUGCCCAAGCAUGACUCAGUGGAGUCAUUUUGGGGGCUCAGCUGAGGGUCAUUUUAAGGGAACAGCUGCUGUUACCUGGGGAAAGACAGCUGAUCAGCUGAACAACACUGGUGAAUGCAAGGGGAGAUGAAGGAUCAGGUUGGAGUGCACAGGAGACAAGACAAGGUGACAAAUACUUAUCCAAAGCUGCAAAGGAGGAAGUCAGUGAGGGCUGUGGCAGAUACGGGAAGGUUGAUAAGCAAAGUUAAAUGCAGAGUUACUAUCCAUCAGAAACUCUUCAUCUGCAUACGAGGUGACAGUAUAUUACGCUGCGAAAUAUUCCCUGCACCUCCACUAUGCUGUGGGGUAGGAGGAUGAUGUCUGACACAUGUACAUGUACAGAGACAUAUUGAAUCUGACCCAUGUUUCACUUCACACAGUGCAAACGCCGCAAGAAGAAAACUUGGCUGCCUGGCCUCAUACUUGUAUUACCUUUGAGAAAGUUGUGUGGUCCUGGGCUCAGCACUAAACGCCAAUGCAAAAGUGGAGUUACAUCUUGGGGGGGUUCUCCUUCACCUUCUCAGAAGAAUAAAUGUUGAAAAUUCUUGGUAUAAUAUCUGUGUUUUUAGUUAAGUGAGGCUUCGGAUGUUGGAGUUGUCAGUGUUAAAACUAUGGCAUCUGUUGCUAUCUACUUAUUUGAAGGAGAAAAUAGAAUAUCAAAGAGAAGUUCAGAUGUGUGCUGGUAAUGUUGGCACACAGAUACACACUGUACUGAAAACCAUUCCCCAUUUAGUGCCUAACAGGGCUCUCUGUUGGGGAGGAGUUAUUUGUUAUAACUAUUCUUGUACAAUAAAAUUAU